CGGAAUUCAAACCCCCAACCCAAGAGGUGCGAGGCAAACAUGCUAAGCACUAAGCCACUGUGCCCCCAAGGCUCUUCCCUCUUUUGCACAUCAACAACUGAACAUGUUUUUCUGUUUAUAUGGAGCACCGUCUACACAAGUUCCAGUGUAAGCUGUUACUACAGAAAUUAUAACAUGUUACUGAUUUGCCUUGCAGUCAAAAAAAAUUAACACAUCCUGACCAAUCAGAUUUGACGAUUCAACAACGCUGUUUAAUAAUAUAAUUUUUCAUAUCUUUCUUGGUCUUAUGUCCCCAUCUUUAAAACAAACAAACAAACAAAAAAAGAAAGCACAGUUCUACAUGCUCACACGUCAUCUCGCUUAAAUUUGUUCUCUCUUUCUAAUUCCAAUGUCCCUUUCUCUCUCGCUCUCCUGACAUUCAAAACCAACUCUUUACCCCCAAGCUCUCUCUGAUGUGAUAGCAAAAUGGCCUUUCCCCUGCUCAGGAAGCAGCUAAUGAGUUGUAUCUUAUGAGCUUACGAGGCAUAUCAUACAGGAUAAUACUGCUGGGAAAUUGAGAGCAAGAGACUGAAACUUGAGACUCGAUCUUUAGGAUUAAAACGAUAUUCAAAUAGGUCAUUGCAAAUGUUUUACAAAACAAAAUGCCGUAAGGGUCACAAAGGCACCAAUUAUUCCUUCUUCAUUUUACUGAAUUAAAAAUUUUUUUUUUUUUUUUUUUUUUACAUAUGACAGCUGGUAAUCUGACAGUCCAAUAUAUGCCACCCACAAGUACUCAUAGAAAACGUACAAGAGUUGGGAGAUGAUAUCUAUGAGAUGUGAAAUGAGAUCUGACUCAGAGAUCUUCCUGUGAAAACAAGAAUGAAGACCAGAAUGAAGUCCAGACCGCGUGUAUAUGCAAGUGAUUGCGUCAGUUUAGCAGUGGACGUAAAUGUGUUUAUCGUGUUCAUCAUUGGUCUUCUGUCCUCUUUCCUGAAUCAUUCUUGCCAUUUAGAGCUGGCGCCAUGCUAAAGAGAUGAGAGAUGAGAGAACAGACGAGUGCCAUAGUACCAACCGAUGAUCCUAAGCACACUCGAAUUCAAGGGUUCUACAGUUGGGAAAACAUUAAGUGCUGUGACCCUCCAGAUAACCCAAACACACUCUGUCUCACUCGAUAGGAGUCAUAACUCAUUCUGUUAUCGUGGCACUGGCUAUGAGAUUCACAUUAGGAAUGAAAUAUCUUUGGUCAUCAAUACGAAACUAUUAAAAAAGUAGAAAACAGGUAGGUUUCUGAAUUACUAUAUUUACAGUAGACCCACUAUUCCAGUAAUUAUAAUAGGUAGCUGUCUUACGGUGUUUACUGAAGACCUGUUACUCAAUUACUGGUACUCCAGUAGUUACAGUAUGUUGCUGUGUUAGUGCAUUUACAGUAGAGCUGCUCCUUCAGUAGUUGAUGUGUCACUGUGCGUAUGAUAGACUUGCUACUCCAGUAGUUACAGGAGGUCGCUGUAUUACCGUAUUUAUGGUAGAGCUGCUACUCCAGUAAGUACGGGAGGUCGCUGUAUUACUAUAAUUUACGGUAGACCUGCUACUCCAGUAGUUACAGGAGGUCGCUGUAUUACCAAACUUACGGUAGAUCUGCUGCUCCAGUAGUUCACUGUAUUAGCAUAUUUAAGAUAGACCCGCUGCUCCAGUAGUUACAGUAG
ensembl:lncRNA